AGACGGGUGAGUAGUGCGUAGGAAUCUACCUAGUAGUACGGAAUAGCCAUUAGAAAUGGUGGGUAAUACUGUAUAAUCCCCGAGGGGGAAAGAUUUAUCGCUAUUAGAUGAGCCUACGUUAGAUUAGCUAGUUGGUGAGGUAAUGGCUUACCAAGGCUAUGAUCUAUAGCUGGUCUGAGAGGACGAUCAGCCACACUGGAACUGAGAUACGGUCCAGACUCCUACGGGAGGCAGCAGUGGAGAAUAUUGGACAAUGGGCGAAAGCCUGAUCCAGCUAUGCCGCGUGAGUGAAGAAGGCCU
rnacentral:rRNA from 1 species